ACUCCUACGGGAGGCAGCAGUGGGGAAUAUUGCACAAUGGGCGCAAGCCUGAUGCAGCCAUGCCGCGUGUAUGAAGAAGGCCUUCGGGUUGUAAAGUACUUUCAGCAGUGAGGAAGGUGGGUAUGUUAAUAGCAUACUCAUUUGACGUUAGCUGCAGAAGAAGCACCGGCUAACUCCGUGCCAGCAGCCGCGGUAAUACGGAGGGUGCGAGCGUUAAUCGGAAUUACUGGGCGUAAAGCGCAUGCAGGUGGUUUGUUAAGUCAGAUGUGAAAGCCCGGGGCUCAACCUCGGAAUUGCAUUUGAAACUGGCAAACUAGAGUACUGUAGAGGGGGUAGAAUUUCAGGUGUAGCGGUGAAAUGCGUAGAGAUCUGAAGGAAUACCGGUGGACGAAGGCGGCCCCCUGGACAGAUACUGACACUCAGAUGCGAAAGCGUGGGGAAGCAAACAGGAUUAGAUACCCUGGUAGGCUACUGC
rnacentral:rRNA from 1 species